ensembl:miRNA
GAGACUUCAUGUUGGUUCCUCACCAGAAUGCAUGACUCUUCAAUCUCGGGACUCGCAGAAUUAAUGGAAUGCCGUCCUAAGGUUGUUGAGUUCUGCGUUUCUGGGCAUUUCAUCUCUGUGGGGAAGU